UACGUAGGGUGCAAGCGUUGUCCGGAAUUAUUGGGCGUAAAGAGCUCGUAGGCGGUCUGUCGCGUCUGCUGUGAAAACUCAGGGCUUAACCCUGAGCUUGCAGUGGGUACGGGCAGACUAGAGUGCGGUAGGGGAGACUGGAAUUCCUGGCGUAGCGGUGGAAUGCGCAGAUAUCAGGAGGAACACCGAUGGCGAAGGCAGAUCUCUGGGCCGUAACUGACGCU
rnacentral:rRNA from 1 species